UGUUAAAAAUUUCAUCUAUUUGUACUGAUAAAAAUUGGCAUGGUUGACAGAAUAGCCAAACAGUGACAUGUGGCCUACCACGUGUACCUCAUGUUGAUGUACAAUGGAUCAGUUUUCAAUAAUAGAAAUAAACAAAAUUUUUAAAG
rfam:Gossypium raimondii Chr01_contig_584, whole genome shotgun sequence.